GAAAUGCCUCCAUGAGAUCCAACUGGAAGACAUUUUCUCAAUUAGUGAUCAAUGGGGGAGGACUCAGCCUACGGUGGGUGGUGCCAUCCCUGGGCUGCUAGUCCUG
rnacentral:miRNA from 1 species